rnacentral:snRNA from 1 species
AUAGUAAUGUUUCAGGGAAGAUAACAUGAUCAUGAAGGUGGUUUUCCCAGGGCGAGGCUUAUCCAUCACUCCGGAUGUGCUGACCCCUGCAGUUUCCCCAAAUGUGGGAAACUCGACUGCAUAAUCUGUGGUAGUGGGGGACUGCAUUCACACUCUCCCCUG